GGCGGGCGGCGGCUACACUGCAGUCGAGCGAUGGAUAAGGAACUUGGUCUUCUGGAUGUCGCGGGGGAGAGGGGAGUAACACGUGGGUGAACCGCCCCUAUCACGGGGAUUACUCCGGGAAACCGGGGCUAAAACCGGAUAACAUUUUGAGGCGCAUGGCUGGAAAUUGACAGGCGGCGUCGGCUGUCAUGUACGGAUGGACCCGCGUCUCAUUAGCUGGUUGGUGAGGUAACGGCUCAACAAUGCGACGAUGCGUAGCCAACCUGAUAGGGUGAUCGGCCACGGUGGGACUGACACAACGCCCACACUCCGACGGGAGGCAGCAUUAUGGAAUCUUCCGCAAUGGACGAAAGUCUGACGGAGCAACGCCGCGUGAGUGAUGAAGGCUUUCGGGUCGUAUAACUCUGUUGUUAGGGAAUAACAAUUGCUACUUGAAUAAGCUGGCACCUUGACGGUACCUAACCAGAAAGCCACGGCUAACUACGUGCCAGCAGCCGCGGUAAUACGUACGUGGCAAGCGUUAUCCGGAAUUAUUGGCGCGUAAAGCGCGCCCAUGUGGUUUCUUAAGUCUGAUGUGAGAGCCCGCGGCUCAACCGUGGAGGGUCUUUGGAAACUGGGGAGACUUCACUGCAGAAGAAGAAAUUGGAGUUCCAUGUGUAGCGGUGAAAGGCGUAAGAUAUAGAGGACACCAAUGGCUAAUUCGGAGUUUGUGACUCUCGGGGUAACACUCACUGGUUGCGAACCGCAGGAG
rnacentral:rRNA from 1 species